UGCGCCGUUCAUGGGGAGUAGCCGGUUUCUGUGCAAUAUAUUCAUAAUAUAUUGGCAAGCAGAAACGCCCGUAUCAACAUACUCGUUUCAUUUAUUUGAAACGUGGUACGGGCAGCCAGGUAAGGUUGGCGAGACCAUAGACACGUAGCUCCGUCGUUAGGUUGGGGGUGGGUUACGUGUAUAUGGAGCCGCCCGGCCGA
rnacentral:sRNA from 2 species